GCACUAAUGUUUUGUUCUAGCGAGUCCAAAGGCGGCGAAUAUUCUCGUAUUGAGGUGGUGCAUCAAGGCAGACCGUCAGAAACUGGAUGCAAACGCAAUCCUCGCGUACCAGUCCGUUUGGUCAGGCUGCUGCCAGCGUCCACGCGCGAGCCAAUCCGGGAGUUGUUCCCGUCCGGGGCGCCGGCAGCCGCGAUGGCAUCGUCAGACAUGGAACCGACAUGCCAAACCAUUGCGAUGUACUCUUUGGUCGACCAUUCUGCCGGUUAGCAAUGAGCUGAAUGAAUGUGCACGGAGGAGCGCGGUGCAUGAGGUCAUUGUGCAGCAGCUGAUCA
rnacentral:lncRNA from 1 species